UGGGGAAUAUUGGACAAUGGGGGGAACCCUGAUCCAGCCAUGCCGCGUGUGUGAAGAAGGCCUUAUGGUUGUAAAGCACUUUAAGCGAGGAGGAGGGUACUGGUAUUAAUACUACCAGGUACUGGACGUUACUCGCAGAAUAAGCACCGGCUAACUCUGUGCCAGCAGCCGCGGUAAUACAGAGGGUGCGAGCGUUAAUCGGAUUUACUGGGCGUAAAGCGUGCGUAGGCGGCUAAUUGAGUCGGAUGUGAAAUCCCCGAGCUUAACUUGGGAAUUGCAUUCGAUACUGGUUAGCUAGAGUGUGGGAGAGGAUGGUAGAAUUCCAGGUGUAGCGGUGAAAUGCGUAGAGAUAUGGAGGAAUACCGAUGGCGAAGGCAGCCAUCUGGCCUAAUACUGACGCUGAGGUACGAAAGCAUGGGGAGCAAACAGG
rnacentral:rRNA from 1 species